CGUGUACGUACAAGCAGUGGGAGCACCCUUUGGGUGUGACUGCGUACCUUUUGUAUAAUGGGUCAGCGACUUAUAUUCUGUAGCAAGGUUAACCGAAUAGGGGAGCCGGAGGGAAACCGAGUCUUAAUUGGGCGUUAAGUUGCAGGGUAUAGACCCGAAACCCGGUGAUCUAGCCAUGGGCAGGUUGAAGGUUGGGUAACACUAACUGGAGGACCGAACCGACUAAUGUUGAAAAAUUAGCGGAUGACCUGUGGCU
rnacentral:rRNA from 2 species